rnacentral:snoRNA from 1 species
UAGAACAUACUCAGCUAGGAUCUAUUUUAUAGUUUCUAACUCGAGUCUCGCAUGUUUACACAUGCCACAUCCUUCAAGUCCAGUCGAUGACAUCCGCGUUCGCCCGUCACACCGAGAACUACGGCCUGCGACCUUCGGGGAGCGGGUCUCGAGGACGUUUGGCUUGCCUCCAGGCGCGCACUGUUUUUCAGUCGCGUUGGGGCGAGCCAGCGGGUGGAACGUCAGUCUGAUGGAU